rnacentral:lncRNA from 1 species
GUUUGGGCUUUCAUCGGGUCCACACUGAGAAGGCACUUCCCAGGAAGAAAGGGGAGCAGGUGCAACAGUAAGACACCCAGGUAAGUACCAGCUCCAAGGAGUUUGGCAAGGUGUGCACAAGGGCAGGAGGGGAAAAUGGAGGAAUAUAAGGCUGGGGAGCAGGGAGGGGCAAGACCAGGAAAGGAAUUUGCUGAAAAAUAUGCCUUUUAUGUGGCACUUAACAGGGAACCAGCAGCAGUGGAGGAAUACAACAAAAUAAAAAUUGAAAGUGGAUGCACUUAGUAUUCAGUAGAGAAAAAAAAGUAUCAAGAUCUGCCUUUUCUCCCAUGACCUCCUUGUCAAUAUUUGAUGAGACACCAAGUCUACAGUCUGUCCCGUGGGGCUAUAGUUCACAUUUCUUUCUUGGGAUCCAUUCUAUGGUUCCCUAAUUCGGAAGCCCAUCCUUUUUAAUUUUCAGCACCAUGAUGACCUUACAAUUACUGUCUCCAUCUUUUAAUCUUUCCUGCACUUACAGAGUUUUCUAAAAUCAGAAACACCAGGGAAUAUGUACAAAAUAUGAGAGGAGCUCGGUAUCUAUUCCUUAGGGAACACUAAAAAGUGGCAAUUAAAACUCACAUAAGAGUUUAUAAUUUGCAAAGCAUUUUCUCAUAGCCUUUACAUUUUGUAGCUAGCCAAUGCUGCUUUCAUCAAGGACUAAAUUGGUGAGAAAUACAACGAACGGAUAUGAUAAGGGUACAAAGCAAAGAGUAAAGACCCAGAAGGCAGCACCAAGGGGCAAGAAGAAGUUGAACGUGGGUACAGAAGUGUGUUUCUGAAAUGGAGUUUAAUAAAACUUUUGAAAUGGAAGAACCUUGUUGUAGGUCGAAUGGUGUCCUGUCAAAAUUCAUAUGUUAAAACCCUAACCCCUAGGACUCAGAAUGUGAUCUUGUUUGGAAAUUGGGUCCUUGUAGAUACGAUUGGUUAAGAUGAACUCAAAUUGGAAUAAGGUAGGUCCCUAAUCCAAUAUGACUGGUGUCCUUAUCAAAAAGAGAAAUUUGGGCACAGAGACAAGCAUAGAGGAAAGACAGUGUGAGGAGAAACAGGAAUUGUGAGACAAUACGUAUAUGUUGUUUAAGCCCUCAGUUUGUGGUACUUUGUUAUGGUAGCCCUAGCAAAGCAAUACAAAUGUCAAGAAAUUUUGAUGUCAGGCUUUGGGUGAUUGAUCCGUGUGACUGCCUCUAGUGGAUACUACCGCUACUUCACUUUUUUUUUUUUUCUUCUUUUUACAGGGGCACCUGUGGCAUAUGGAAGUUCCUGGGCUGAGGGAGAAUAGGAGCUACAGCUGGGGCCUCUUCCACAGACACAGUAACCCUGGAUCUGAGCUGCAUCUGCAACCUGUGCUGCAGCUUGCAGCAAUGCCGGAUCCUUAACCCACUGAGUGAGGCCAGGGAUAAAGCUCGCAUCCUCAGGGACGCUAUGUUGAGUUCUUAACCUGCUGAGCCACAGCAGGAACUCUGUCGGGUAUUUCACUCGUCUUCCCUUAGAUAUCAUUUACUGUUUUCAUCAAGUUCUGCCCCACUUUCUCUCCACUUCAUCGGGCUUUAUCUUCCUUUAUCUUCCUCAGGCUACAGGAGCAGCUUUGCCCUCGUGUGCAGACCAGGAGUUUAGAACCUCUCUCCCUAUACCCAGUGGUCCUUGACCAAUGGCUGAAUGGCAGAAUGUAGGAACAGCUAGCUUUCUGGGCUCUGAGGUGGAUCUCCACUCCAAAGGCCCCCUGCAGGACAAGGAUGAAACUCUCUGCCCCAGGACUUCAUCUGAGAUCUCCCUCUUGGCCUGCUUCCCCCAUGUUUGUUUGUUUGUUUGUUUUUUACCAGUUUCUCCUAGAAGUACUGCUUACCUAAAUCACUCUAUCUGAAUCUUCAUCUCAGGAUAUGCUUCUCAGGACCCCAGCCUAAGACGAUGCUGACUCUCUCCCCAGCACCUGAAAUGACUAAAGUUGUAGUAGGUAGUAAGGCAGUGUCUUUUUUUCAUGAAAAAAGGAAGUGAGUUUGGUAAAUUCCAGCCAAGGUGAUAGUUUAAAGGCAGUAUGGACAGAUAACCUAUCCUUUAGAAGAGAGUGUUUGAACAGGGAUGAAAAAAUAACACAUGGAGGUGACAAAAGGUACCUAGUAGAAUGUCCACACAAGCUCUAUAUCCUUGGUACGCAAGGAAUAAUAUAUUAUUAAGAAUAAGAUGAACAUACUUGUAGUUAUGAUGCAACAUAAUUUACAGCAGAUGGAUUUAAUAGUUCACACAUCCUGGUUCUUGGCAUGUCGUUUCCCAUCUCCUCGUGUGCUCCAAGAGUUAAGGCAACAUAUCUAACUUGUGGCAAGGAGAUGACUGUGUCACCUGUAGGAUUUGGCUCCAUGUUGGUUCAAUGUUUCAGAAUUUCAAGUGCUUUUUUUCCCCCUUUCUUUAAAACAUCUAAAUGCGGCAUUGAUAAAUGUCACGGAGAAUAACAUAUGUGAUGGAAUGUGCUGAGGAUAAUGGGAGUUACUUUCUUGUUCACCUGAACCAUGACUUGUCUACCUUUAGCAAGAAUAAUGAAUGUAAUUUAAUACAGCACCUUUGUAGGGAAGUGACUCAAAACACUUUCCAAAGAGAAUAUUAAAAUGCUGAAUUAUGCAAUAAAGACAGAGAUUUAAGUAGAUUAUAAUAGAUUACGCACUUACAAAAUCAUAUAGUGCAGCAGAGGGUACAUUUAAAAUAUACAUUAUAUUGUUAUUAGGUAAGUGUGAACAUAGAAAGACAAGGCAAUAUGGAAUAAGGAAAACAAAGGUCAUAUGGAGAUUAAAUAGCUAUUUUAAUGAAUAGAGCCAGCGCAGGUUACUGCAAAGGGCAUGAGAGACUGAGUCGGAUGGGACAUAGUUUGAGCCAUCAUGGAUGAUCUGGAUAGUUUUAAACAUGAAUGUAUUUGAGCUUUAAUCUCCCUACAUAGGUAAAGUGAGCUAAAAUUACUAGCUUUGUAGGGCAUUCAUGGGGAAUUAAUGUGAUAAUAUAUUUUAAAAGGUGUCCAAUAAAAGACAGCUUUAAAACAUUAUCCUUCUUAUCAAUAAGAUGUAAUAACCACAGCCGCCUUUAACCCCCUCAUAAGGUCUUUCCACAUACCUUAACAUUUAUCGGUGACAUGCAACCCAAUAUAUCCCUAACAAUCCCAUUUCUCUCUAUUCCAUUGAAUGUAGUCAUACUCGAAGCACUUGAAGAAAAAAAUGGAAUUCUUUGAGUUCAACUACAUUAUUUAACACCUAAAGAAACUGAGGCCCAAUGAGGUGAAAUGAUUUAUUCAUAAUCACACAUAAUUGUUCUACUAUUUUGUCCAGAGACUCUGCCCUGCCCUUCAGGUGCAUCAUUAUGUUUGACUCUUAUGUUGAGUUGAGGAGGAAGAUGUUCUUAUUUAUCCCUGAAGAAAGUGAGGCACAGAAAUAGGAAAUCAUUUGCCUAAAAUCACACAGCUGUCAGGUGGCACAGCUGGGUUUUCAACCUAGGUCCAGCUGACUCCUUAGCAGGUGUCUUCACAGUCCCUCUCGCCCCUCCCACCUUCCCACCUCCAUUCUCCUACUGAAUUUGCUCAGGGGCAGGAAACAGCUCAGAUCUUACUUUAUUGGUAGUUAUGUAAGCAGGUUGCUAGUAACUACUGCCAUUUCUCCUUUACUAGAGAUUUUCUGUGCCCCUAUGAGAAAGCCAAAAAUUACUAUAUGCUGUUCAUUUUUUUUUUAAAUGUCAAACAAAAGGUGAGAUUUAAAAUGAGUUUUCAGGUAACCUGAAUUUUUUGGGUGAGAAGUUUUUGCUUGUCCACUAGCCAUGGGACCCACACUCACAAAACAAUGAUUACUCUGUCGAAUUUUUAGACCUCAUUAUGGCUAUUCAGUCUUUUGGAUAUAGGAUAAAGGUAAAAGAUCAGUUACUUUCUUUUUGUUUAUUUUUGUAUUGAAGUAUGGUUGAUUUACAAUAUCAUAUUAGUUUCAGGUGUACAGCAAAGUGAUUUGGUUAUAUAUAUAUUUUUGGAUUCUCUUCUAUUAUAGGUUAUUACGAGAUACUGAAUAUAGUUCUCUGUGCUGUGCAGUAAACCGUUGUUGUUGAUCAACUAUUGUUACUUAGAAAUGAUGGCUAAGGAAGUGAUGGUUAAAAACACAAAACUUCCACAUCAGUUCACCAACAUGACUUUCUAAGCUUGCAAGAUCCCUGGCAGCAGCUCUUCCCAUAAAUCAACAUGUCAGAAGAAAACAAUGACCCUUCCCAGGCAACAGAAUAAAACCCCUGAACUCUCCAAGGUUGACUUGGAACAGAAGUCUCCAAGACAACCUUGAUACAUCUCAUUCCUUUCCCACUCAUGGAGGGGAAGUACAAGGUGUGAUGGAAUUCCUUCAACCUAAUCAAGAGGCUCACCAAUCCAGAACGACCCUAGAGGACCCAGAUAAGAGAGUGAAUUAAUUGCCCAUUGUAAAUAUCGGUAUCCUUUGGCCAAGCCACCAACCGUUAUUCUCUGAUGUGAGUAGCACCAAGAAUUUUUAUUUGGACUGAAAUCCAGGAAGAAAAUUAAAAAAAAAAAUAAUAGUUCAUUUCAUCUUCCUGACAACAAUCAGGGUGGGAUGAUUUGCAACCAGAAGUCCAAGGGAAACCAGAUCAACUGUGGGAUGUUUUCAGUUUCAUAGAUUUCAGAGGUGGAAGGCAACUUAUACCUCAUCCUGUCCAACUGCCUUGUUUUACCCAGGAGAAAACAUGGACCCAAGAAGCAAGGCAACUUGUCCAAGGGCGCACAGGUAGCUAUAUGACAGAAGUGGGUCUAGUUGCUGGCCUUCUUCCUCUUUUUCAUUGCUUUUUCUAUAACACAGCAUGGCCUAAUUAUGAACUAUGGUCUGGCAUUCCAUGCUCCACCAUGUGUGUACUGAGCUCUUAUUAUGUGCUUAGCUAUGUUUCCAGGAACAAUUCUAGGAGAAAAAAAUGAGUUAACUCAGUUAUAAAGAGCCUUUAUUAAUUUAUUCAUUUAGGGCUGCACCCCGGUGCUGCUCAUGGAGCUUCCCAAGCUAGGGAUUGAAUCAGAGCUGUAGCUUCUGGCCUAUGCCACAGCCACCGAAAUGCCAGAUCUGAGCCAUGUCUGUGACCUAUACCAUAGCUCACCGCAAGGCCGAUGAGGCCAGGGAUUGAGCCUGCUGCAUCCUCAUGGAUGCUAGUCUGAUUGGUUUCCACUGAGCCAUGACGGGAACUUCAAAGAGCCACUUUUAAAUGUAUACUGUCUCAUUUAAUCCACACAAAGACACUGUGUCCCUACUACCACGGAGGAAACUCAAACCUGCUUAUGGUCACACAGCUAAUUGAGAGCAAAGCUGUGAUUCAGAUUGAAGUUGUAUGACCCUAUAUCCUAGGCUUAUUAUUCUAUAUCCUUUUGUCUUUUCAUUACCUAGGUGUUUUCCUCUUCAAUUCAUACCCCUUACUCAUUUCCACAGAGUCUUUUUCUAAUCCGGUUGUCAAGGGUGAACCAUGAUCUGAGAGCUUACAAAGCCCCAGACCUCAAGGAGCUGACAUUCUUGGGGCUCACAGACCAAAGACCAUAAAUAGGUACACAUACAAAAUGUAUCACUCUGGGGUGAGGGGUAAGAAAGAAAAUCAAGCAUUGAAAGAAGCAGACUGACCAGAGGGGGGCAGUAUUUUCGAUGGGGCAGUUGGGAAGGUCCCUCAAGGAGGGGACUUCUGAGCAGAGCCUGAAAAUGGCCAAGUGCCAGGAUGGAGACGAGACGCUGAAGGACUCGGUAGUCACAGGGGGACUUUUUGGGGAGGGGUCAGUCCAGUGUGUUCAUUAACAGCAAUACUCCUGGGAUUGAAUAUCUACUGGACUAUUUGUUGGCUACCUGACUUAGGUACGUUCCCUCAAAUCCUCUGAACCUCCUGUCUAAAAUUGGACUAAUUAGAGUCCCCAGCCCCCUUUUCUCUAAAAUGGGAUUACUCAGUACUCAGUUUUAGGGUCAUGUGAAAAUUAAUGGAAAACAAAGUCCAUGGAUACACAAUAAAUAGCCGUGUUCUCUCUCUCUCUCUCUCUCUCUGGCUCUAAAUGAUAUACCCAUCAUUCUUGUAAUUUAAUAUCACUGUCCUACUGCUGUACAGCACAGGGAACUAUGUUCAAUCUCAGGUUAGAACAUGAUGGACGAUCAUAGGAUAAAAAAAAAAUGUGUACAUAUAGACACGACUGGGUCACUUUGCUGUACAGCAGAAAUUGAAGGAACAUCGUAAAUCAACUACACUUUAAUCAGAAAGUUUUAAAAAAUAACAUUGCCCUAGAUUCUGUUUCCACACUCAAAAAAAAAAAAAAAAAGCAGGAUUUUUUUUUAAAACAUUUUUAUCACUUCAAUAAACUAUUAUGAGGAAGGCCAAUAAAAUAAACUAAAUAAAAGGGAAGCUGUUCUGGUUGACUCAAGGGAGCAGCAGGCAGGCACAAUCUGCUCGGCUCCACCUUCCCAUAACCCACCCCACGGUGGUCCUGAGAAAGCCCCAGGCUUCAGGGGACAGAGCAAAGAACAUCACCAUUUGACAGUACUUCUAACAAAAUGACUGCCCCCCACCCCACCCCGGGGGUGGGGAGAGAGAGCUGAACCUGCUAUUGUUAAAGUAAUGUUGACAAGAGCAAAGUUUGGCCUCUCGGCUCUUUGAUUUUUUUUUUUUUUUUUUGAAUAAAGAGAUUACUAGGCCACGGGACAGCACAUAGCCAUCCUCCUUGAGGUGGAUGCUGGGGUUGUUUAUUUAGCUCAGGGCUUAGUCACAAGUUCAGAACAUUCUGUGGGUUUUACUGGAACUCGAUAUCAUGGCUCAUCCCAACUCAAAUCACUCCGGCCAAGGCUGCCAGGGACCUCCUCCGGGGGGAUGAGUAGGCUUCCCAGGCUCCCGGAGAGGAAAUGUGCCCCUGCUUCUCCUUCAGCUUGAGUCGUGGCCCCCGUGGUGUCCUUGUCCCAAAGAGCUGGAAGGCAGCUGUGUCCAGUGCCUGGCGGGGGAGACUUCCUUGGGUUGUGGAGCCUAGAAAGCUGGCUACUUAGGAUGUCUAGAAAUAUCCCCAUCACCUGGAGGUCAAGUUAUGUUUUUAUUCCUUCUGUGUGUUUCACUUGCACACUGCCGUGCAUUUGGGUGUGGUUAGCCCAAAUAUGGGUCUGUUGUUGAGGGCUCCUUGGUCUCUUGUCUGUUUACUUCAGCUCAUUUCACCGCAGCACUUACCAAACCCUCUUUUCUUCCGUUCCUGAACCUCACUUUCUUCAGGGAAAGACACUCAGAUUGGUUGAAGGCCUAUAAUGCGCCAGCCAGAGGAUAGGGCCUCCAACCUCGGAAACCUGGGGAAGCUUCUCCAAAAGUCCAGAGAGGAAGAAAUUCUCUUCCCUCUUUAGAAGAGGAAACUGAGCCCCAAAGACCUUAAGUCAUUCGAGGUCACGUAGUGAAUGAAUAGGAGACAGUCAUUUCAAACCAAAGUCAGGCCGACUCAGCAGCCUCUUCUUUCCACUGUGCUGUGCUCUGGUGAGAAAAUCCAUCUAAUUAAAAUU